CCCACAUCCAGACCUUUUAGGACAUGGUAGCUAUAGCAAACCCUACAUUUGAAGACACUAUGGCUACAGAGACAGGAUUCUCUGACACUAACCUAUGGCUUGAGUGGAUGAGAUAUAAUGCUAACAAACACAAUAGAACUAACUGCUAUGUCUGUGUAGGAGCCAGACCCCACCUAGGUACUGUACCCCUAUUCCUACCCCUUGACAUAGAAGUGUGUUUUCUGAGUCUUUUCACCAACUGUAAGACUAACCAAUCAGUGUGCGAAUCAUGGAAAAAAGAGUAUCCUAUUAUGACUAAGAACCCCAAACCAGGUGAG